rnacentral:rRNA from 1 species
AAUGGCAGGUCAGCAUACUGCCGUGAAUACGUUCCCGGGCCUUGUACACACCGCCCGUCACACCAUGAGAGUUAGGAAUACCCGAAGCCUGUGAGCCAACUUAUCCAAGAGGCAGCAGUCGAAGGUAGAACUAAUGAUUGGGGUGAAGUCGUAACAAGGUAAC